rnacentral:lncRNA from 1 species
AUCUGGCCUGGACAGCCUGGGGACAUCUGCUUGCCAAAAGGAGGGACCAGCCCCCAGGAAGCCCAGAGCUCGGCAGGGCUGGGUAGAAGGGUCUGUGUGCAGAACACCCGAGAUCAGAGAAUGGACGUACCACCGAGUCCCCCGAGGCCCGCCCUCAGCAUGUCUUAUUCCAUUUUGAAGUCCCUGCCAUGCGGCAACACCUCGGUCACCUCACCACGGGCAUCAAGGGAAGUAGAAGGGUCCCGUUCCGCCAGCAGGGAGCGGCAGAGUUGCACUCAGUCAAGCCAUACCUUUCUCAUCCUCCAAUGUCCCAGUGGGGGUCAGCCUGACUAGGAAGUCACUUCCUCCCUCGUGCCAGAGCUGGCCUCUCUUGACUGCCUAUUGUCUAAUUCUUCCUGGACACAGCUUCUCUCUGAUGACUACAAAGUUGUAAAUGUCUGAGGUGUGGCUGCAUAGCACCUGUAUUUCCCAAGAUGGCUACACAAAUAAAAGAACCAUGGUGGGAUCCAUGGUCUAGCAGGAAACAAGGUUCAUCUCCUUCUGGAAAACAUGAGUCUCCUUUCUCUGUGACAACUCCAGCUUGUGUCAAGGUGACACAAAACCAGCCAGUGCAGCCCCUCAGCAGAAACACAGGCUGCGUUUAUACUCAGCCAUCAUACAACCCUGAUGGAGACACACCCCAGGUAGGAAAUAUGGGUCAAAUUAAAAUCCCAAAGGAACAGAUGAGAUGUACCACCACACAGUGGCAUCAACUGGGCUGUAAAAAGGAUCUGGUGAUUGACAGACCCUGGACAAACCACACAGGCCGUGCUAAGAAAAGCCAGACCCAGAACUGGGUGUGGUGGUACCCUUCUGGAAUCCCAGCUUUAGGGAGGUUGAGACAGGAGGGUCAUGAGUUCAAGGCCAGCCUGGAUUGA